CCCUUAGAUGUUCUGGGCCGCACGCGUGCUACACUGAGUGGAUCAGCGGGUCAGGUUGCGCGAAAGUGUUUCCUAAUCUUGAAAUCCGCUCGUGAUGGGGAUUGACGGUUGCAAUUUUCCGUCAUGAACGAGGAAUACCUUGUAAGCGCGGGUCAUCAUCCCGCGCUGAAUACGUCCCUGCCCUUUGUACACACCGCCCGUCGCUCCUACCGAUUGAAUGUUUCGGUGAAGAUUCCGGAUAGGACUUUUUUGAUUUAUUUCAAUUCUGUCUUAAAAGCUAUCUAAACCUCAACAUUUAGAGGAAGGUGAAGUCGUAACA
rnacentral:rRNA from 1 species